CAGUAUUGCGGUGAACUCCAAUGUGUUGCUGCCUCACGUUACGAGACGUCUUCAAAUCCACAGACGGACCUUUAACAGGGGGAGAAAAAAAAAAAAAAGCCCCGAAACAGACCCUGUUUGUGCUGUGUGAAGAAUGACCUCAUCCACUCAGGGAAGAUGUUUGGAUUGAUGGAUACAUCGACGGAGGAGCAGCUACACAUUCGCUUGAACUGAAGCGGGACCUUCUGGGAGCAGUUGGAAAGUAGCAGUCCAGAGGCGCACGAGGGGACGACCCUGAAGGAGAGAUUGAACAAAUUUAAAUGGGGGAACCCAGGAGAGCCGCUCUCCGGGGAUCAGCGGUAACUAACUGCGGUGGCGGUGGCGGCAGCAGCCCGGCAGG